rnacentral:rRNA from 1 species
AUUGAACGCUGGCGGCAUGCCUUACACAUGCAAGUCGAACGGCAGCACGGGAGCAAUCCUGGUGGCGAGUGGCGAACGGGUGAGUAAAGCAUCGGAACGUGCCCAGUCGUGGGGGAUAACGUAGCGAAAGCUACGCUAAUACCGCAUACGAUCUGCGGAUGAAAGCGGGGGACCGUAAGCCCUCGCGCGAUUGGAGCGGCCGCUGUCAGAUUAGGUAGUUGGUGAGGUAAAGGCUCACCAAGCCGACGAUCUGUAGCUGGUCUGAGAGGACGGCCAGCCACACUGGGACUGAGACACGGCCCAGACUCCUACGGGAGGCAGCAGUGGGGAAUUUUGGACAAUGGGCGCAAGCCUGAUCCAGCAAUGCCGCGUGCAGGAUGAAGGCCUUCGGGUUGUAAACUGCCUUUGUACGGAGCGAAACGGCUUCCACUAAUACUGGGGGCUAAUGACGGUACCGUAAGAAUAAGCACCGGCUAACUGCGUGCCAGCCGCCGCCGUAA